CACCAGGUUGAUUCUGCCUGACGUGGAUGCUAGUUUCUAAGGUUAAGCCAUGCAUGUUUUUGAAGCCCUUGUGGUGGAUUGAUGGACGGCUCAGUGAUACUACGAUGAUUUGAUCGAUAUCUGUUUGUAAUUACGGGAAACUGUAGAUAAGGAUAGUUUGGGUAUGCUUGUGUUUUCUUGUGUAUCUUAUGUUUAUCGAGUAAGUUGUAGACCUAUCAACUAGUAGUUAGGGUAAUGGCCUAACUAGGUAGUGACGGGAGACGGGGGAUUAGGGUUUGAUUCCGGAGAGGGAGCCUGAGAGAUGGCUACUACGUCCAAGGACGGCAGCAGGCGCGAAAA
rnacentral:rRNA from 1 species